rnacentral:rRNA from 1 species
AUUGAACGCUGGCGGCAGGCUUAACACAUGCAAGUCGAGCGGGGGAAGGUAGCUUGCUACCGGACCUAGCGGCGGACGGGUGAGUAAUGCUUAGGAAUCUGCCUAUUAGUGGGGGACAACAUCUCGAAAGGGAUGCUAAUACCGCAUACGUCCUACGGGAGAAAGCAGGGGAUCGUCGGACCUUGCGCUAAUAGAUGAGCCUAAGUCGGAUUAGCUAGUUGGUGGGGUAAAGGCCUACCAAGGCGACGAUCUGUAGCGGGUCUGGGAGGAUGAUCCGCCACACUGGGACUGAGACACGGCCCAGACUCCUACGGGAGGCAGCAGUGGGGAAUAUUGGACAAUGGGGGGAACCCUGAUCCAGCCAUGCCGCGUGUGUGAAGAAGGCCUUAUGGUUGUAAAGCACUUUAAGCGAGGAGGAGGCUACUUUAGUUAAUACCUAGAGAUAGUGGACGUUACUCGCAGAAUAAGCACCGGCUAACUCUGUGCCAGCCGCCGCAGUAA